CCUACGGGAGGCAGCAGUGAGGAAUAUUGGUCAAUGGCCGGAAGGCUGAACCAGCCAAGCCGCGUGAAGGACGAAGGUGCCAAGCAUUGUAAACUUCUUUUGUCAAGGGACAAAAUCAGGCGCGAGAGCCUGACCGAGGGGACUUGAAGAAAAAGCAUCGGCUAACACCGUGCCAGCAGCCGCGGUAAUACGGAGGAUGCGAGCGUUAUCCGGAUUUAUUGGGUUUAAAGGGUGCGUAGGCGGACUGUUAAGUCAGCGGUCAAAGCCCGGGGCUCACCCCCGGCGAGCCGUUGAAACUGGCUGUCUUGCGUUGUCGAGAGUUAUGCGGAAUGCGCCGUGUAGCGGUGAAAUGCUUAGAUAUUGCGCAGAACUCCGAUUGCGAAGGCAGCAUACCGGCGGCGAUCUGACGCUGAGGCACGAAAGCGUGGGUAUCGAACAGGAUUAGAUACCCGUGUAGUC
rnacentral:rRNA from 1 species